UACAGAGGUGGCAAGCGUUGUUCGGAAUUACUGGGCGUAAAGGGCGCGUAGGCGGCCUUCUAAGUCAGACGUGAAAUCCCCCGGCUUAACCUGGGAACUGCGUCUGAUACUGGGAGGCUUGAGUAUGGGAGAGGGAUGUAGAAUUCCAGGUGUAGCGGUGAAAUGCGUAGAGAUGUGGAGGAAUACCGAUGGCGAAGGCAGCCUCCUGGGCCAACACUGACGCUCAUGCACGAAAGCGUGGGGAGCAAACAGG
rnacentral:rRNA from 1 species